CAGUAGCCGCGGUAAAACGGAGGGGGCUAGCGUUGUUCGGAAUUACUGGGCGUAAAGCGCACGUAGGCGGUUUUGUAAGUCAGAGGUGAAAGCCCGGAGCUCAACUCCGGAACUGCCUUUGAGACUGCAUCACUUGAACGUCGGAGAGGUGAGUGGAAUUCCGAGUGUAGAGGUGAAAUUCGUAGAUAUUCGGAAGAACACCAGUGGCGAAGGCGGCUCACUGGACGACUGUUGACGCUGAGGUGCGAAAGCGUGGGGAGCAAACAGGAUUAGAUACCCCGGUAGUCCCUGUCUCUUAUAA
rnacentral:rRNA from 1 species